rnacentral:rRNA from 1 species
UAGUCCACGCCGUAAACGAUGGAUACUAGCUGUCCGGGACCUUGAGUCCUGGGCGGCCAAGCGAAAGUGAUAAGUAUCCCACCUGGGGAGUACGUUCGCAAGAAUGAGACUCAAAGGAAUUGACGGGGGCCCGCACAAGCGGUGGAGCAUGUGGUUUAAUUCGAUGAUACGCGAGGAACCUUACCAGGGCUUAAAUGUACAUUGCAUAGCGUAGAGAUAUGCUUUUCUUCGGACUAUGUACAAGGUGCUGCAUGGUUGUCGUCAGCUCGUGCCGUGAGGUGUCAGGUUAAGUCCUAUAACGAGCGCAACCCCUACCGUUAGUUGCCAGCAUGUAAUGAUGGGGACUCUAACGGGACUGCCGGUGCAAACCGUGAGGAAGGUGGGGACGACGUCAAAUCAUCACGGCCCUUACGUCCUGGGCCACACACGUGCUACAAUGGCCGGUACAGAGGGAAGCCACCACGUAAGUGGGCGCGGGAUCUAUAAAACCGAUCGUAGUCCGGAUUGGAGUCUGCAAC